rnacentral:rRNA from 1 species
GGGUCAAUUUGCUGGUCGAGACCUCUGGUACGUACUGGUAUUAUUGAUUUCUUUCAUUCUGAUAAAUCAUUGAUGUCAUUAAUUUGAUGACUUUGAGGAAUCGGAACUUUUACUUUGAAAAAAUUAGAGUGUUUAAAGCAGGCUUAUUAGGCUUGAAUACAUUAGCAUGGAAUAAUGAAAUAGGACGAUUGAUCCUAUUUUUGUUGGUUUCUAGGAUUGACGU